CCCUGACAACCGCAUAGGGCGGUUGACAUUAGCCAAGACAGGAGAUAACCAAUG
rnacentral:ncRNA from 1 species